rnacentral:rRNA from 1 species
UACGAAGGGGGCUAGCGUUGCUCGGAAUUACUGGGCGUAAAGCGCACGUAGGCGGUCUUUUAAGUCGGGGGUGAAAUCCUGGAGCUCAACUCCAGAACUGCCUUCGAUACUGGAAGACUUGAGUCCGGGAGAGGUGAGUGGAACUGCGAGUGUAGAGGUGAAAUUCGUAGAGAUAUGGAGGAACACCAGUGGCGAAGGCGACUUUCUGGUCUGUAAAUGACACUGAGGCGCGAAAGCGUGGGGAGCAAACAGG